UACGGGGGGGGGCAAGCGUUGUUCGGAAUCACUGGGCUUAAAGCGUGUGUAGGCGGAUUUGUAAGUACCUUGUGAAAUCCCACGGCUCAACCGUGGAACUGCUUGGUAUACUGCUUAUCUUGGGUCAUCUAGGGGCGAGCGGAACAAACGGUGGAGCGGUGAAAUGCGUAGAUAUCGUUUGGAACGCCAAUGGUGAAAACAGCUCGCUGGGGAUGUACCGACGCUGAGACACGAAAGCCAGGGGAGCGAACGGG
rnacentral:rRNA from 1 species